GUCAGGAUGGCCGAGCGGUCUAAGGCGCUGCGUUCAGGUCGUAGUCGGGUUCUGCCGGCGUGGGUUCGAAUCCCACUUCUGACA
rnacentral:tRNA from 1 species